GUAUCGUAAUAGUUCGUGUUUAGAAAAUGAAUUCUAACAUAUUGUUAUGUUCACAGGUACCUGAACUACAUUUCAGUCACUCAGUAAAGUCAUAACUCAAAAUAUCGUUGUCAGCAGAUCUGAAGAAAUUGCCACUGCGUCUUUAGACCGUUUUCGUCAGACGAGAGACGCAGUUCUGACUCUGAUUACUGGUUGCUGUACGUAUCUAUCCACAUCAAGGCUGUUGAGAGAGACUCGUGAAGAUUCAAGACAGCUCUUAGAGGAUUUGCAGUUUAAAAGUGAAAUAAGUGUGUGAGUGAUUAAACUGUGUUUUAUUGAAAUUGUUGUGCAAUUUUAAACGAAUAAUAAAUGUUAAAUACAGUGAGUGAAUAAUAAAAAUCUCAUUUUCCACA